rnacentral:rRNA from 1 species
GACGAACGCUGGCGGCGUGCUUAACACAUGCAAGUCGAACGCUGAAGCUCAGCUUUUGUUGGGUGGAUGAGUGGCGAACGGGUGAGUAACACGUGAGUAACCUGCCCCCUUCUUUGGGAUAACGCCCGGAAACGGGUGCUAAUACUGGAUAUUCACUGGUCUUCGCAUGGGGGUUGGUGGAAAGGGUUUUUCUGGUGGGGGAUGGGCUCGCGGCCUAUCAGCUUGUUGGUGGGGUGAUGGCCUACCAAGGCUUUGACGGGUAGCCGGCCUGAGAGGGUGACCGGUCGCAUUGGGACUGAGAUACGGCCCAGACUCCUACGGGAGGCAGCAGUGGGGAAUAUUGCACAAUGGGCGCAAGCCUGAUGCAGCGACGCCGCGUGAGGGAUGGAGGCCUUCGGGUUGUGAACCUCUUUCGCUCAUGGUCAAGCCGCAACAAUGGUUGUGGUGAGGGUAGUGGGUAAAGAAGCGCCGGCUAACUACGUG